UACGAAGGGGCUAGCGUUGCUCGGAAUCACUGGGCGUAAAGGGUGCGUAGGCGGGUCUUUAAGUCAGGGGUGAAAUCCUGGAGCUCAACUCCAGAACUGCCUUUGAUACUGAGGAUCUUGAGUUCGGGAGAGGUGAGUGGAACUGCGAGUGUAGAGGUGAAAUUCGUAGAUAUUCGCAAGAACACCAGUGGCGAAGGCGGCUCACUGGCCCGAUACUGACGCUGAGGCACGAAGCGUGGGGAGCAAACAGG
rnacentral:rRNA from 1 species